UAGGGUUUUAUUAUAUAGGAUAGGCACAUAGUAGUUAUCGUAUGAAUAUAUAUCCUCCUUUCAUCCACAUGCUAAAUUGGAAUUAAGUUUGGGUUUUUAAAUAUUUAAUAUCUUAAAUAAUAAAUAUUUUCAGAUGGAUAAGUAUAUAGAAUAAUGCAAUUGAGUAGGCAAAAUAGUGGACCCCAAAGUCUUCAAUGUCCUAAUCCCCAAGACUUACAGUUACAUGGCAAGUUGAAUUACGGUUACAAACUACCUGACUUUAAACCAGGAAAAUUAUGCUUGGCUACCCAGGUAGGGCCAAUGUAAUCACAAGAGUCCUUAAAAGUGGAAGAAAAAGACAGAAAAAGAGAAUUAAAAAGAAAAAAGCUGUGAUGAUGAAGAAGGGUCUGAGAGAUGCUAUGUUGCUGGCUUUGAAGAUGGAAGAAGGGACAUGGGCCAAGGAAUGUGAGCAGCCUCCAGGAGCUGGAAAAGGCAAGGAAAUGGACUCUCCAAGAGCCUCCAGGAGGGACUCAUUGCUGCCAGCCCCUCAAUUUUAACAGUGAGACCCGGGUCAGACUGAACUACAGAACUGUUUCAAAGCACAUGUGACUUAUUCUCAACACAUUCCUGAAAUCAGCAGCAACUUCUGAAAGUCCGCGUCUUCUCUACACACCAGUUCAACAGGGUCACAACCAGGGGUUCAGAUCCAUCUGUCAUUCAUGAAGACGUUUGACACUCUCAGGUAAGUGCCCACCUAUUAGGGGUAAGAGUCUCAGAUGCAGACUGUGCUGUCCUUUUCUUUACCUUCCAUAACUUAAUUUCUGACUAAGGCUGAGCCCUUAUUGGGAUGGUGUUAUAGACUGAUGUUGGUGUCCCCCCACCCCCAAGUUCAAAUGUUGAAUCCUAACCUCCAAUAUGAUGAUAUUGGGAGGUGGGGCCUUUGGGAGGUGUUAGGUCCCUAGGGUGGAGCCCAUCAAUGGGAUUAGUGCCCUUACAUGAGGCCCCAGAGCACUCCCUCUGCCAUGUAAGGACAGUUUGAAGACUGCCAUCUAUGAACAAGGAAGAUGGUUCUCUCCAGACACCAACUCUGCUGAUGCCCUUGAUCUUGGACUUCCCAGCCUCCAUAAAUGAAUCCUGUAAGUCAAUGAUACUUCAACUUGGUUGCACAUUAGAACCACCAAAGGAACAUCCCAGGUCAACUAAAUUAGAGUAUUUGGGGAUGGGACCCAGGCAGCAGAGCUUUUAAAACUCCCCAGGUGGUAUCAUGAGGAGCCAAGUUGAGAACUACUGCUCUAAGUUCUCCUGAGGCCUCAAAUUUUCAAAAGCAAAUCCCAGGAAGAAUUAUAGGUUGUUCCUGCUUCAAGGUAGAGAUAGGAAAAAUGCAUAGAGGAAGAAAAAAACAUUAAUAUCCAGCCUCAGUAGUCAGGUGAGAUCUCCCAGCAUUGUCUUGCCUGCCUUGACGAUCAGGCCUCCGGUCUCCUCAUCUCUCCACCUAUUGCUUCUUGCAAAUCCUUUCACUACCUGCCUGAGUCUCCAGGAAGAGUGAGCUGCUUAGAGGCCAGAUACUCUCUCAAACUACAUUGUCUUCCCACAGCUCAUAGUGAAGAUGUUUUGUGAAGAUGCUGAGCAGUCCUGCCUGAGGGGAGAUUGUGAAUACAUUCCAUCUGCAGAAAGUUUGCAGGAGUCUUACCUUUGAUCAAAAGCUGAGAGCUUGCUCCUUCAAAAUCCAACAGGUGGCACAAGGAGGCACUUGUGCAGGACAAGUACUGGCCUUGGAGAGCUGUACCUUUCUGCUUCCAGAGGGCCUUCAUCUUGGAGAUGUCUUCCUCGUCUGUUGCAUGGUCACUCUGAAAGCAGCUGUGCAGACCGUGAUUAUUUGGAUUUUCCCGACAGAGAAAGGUGUGGCCUAGAAGGCUGUGGAAGGUCAAAAAUCAGAGAAUGGGAAUGAAAAAUAAGGGAAAGAAUGGACUACUAGACAAACCCACACUGGAUGCCCUUGAAUAAAGAAGAGUUGGCUGACUUUAUCAUUUUGCCCACCUGAGCACAACAUGUAACAGAAAACCAUUCCAUCACCUGCCACCAGCUAGAUCCAGUGGAUCCUGGUGCCGCCAGAAAUCUGAAUCGUGCACUGCUUACUCACUCUGUGCUCCACGCCCAUUACCAAACCCUGCUUUCUGUUCAGCUUGGCCCGUCUACUACUGCAUUGCUGCCCACACAAGUAUCUGACUUCCUGAAAGCAUACCCACAGCCUCCCCACCACAAGUCAGGUUCCCACGCCAUCCUCUUUGCCCAUCCAGUUCAGCUCAAGUUUUAAGGGAGAAGACAAAGAAGUACACAAACUAUUAUUAGAUAACAGAGAGACAGCUUAUUCGGUGGCUGAGUCAUCAGUCAGGGAAAAUAAUCACCGUGAAGGACAUCUUUGUAGCCCACCGGGACAGCUGUGCUCAACAGAUGGCAGAGGACCAGAACUCAAGAGUGGUUGGGCAGAAGCGUCAACACUCAUGGGUGCAGACUGAUGGCCAGUAGAUAUUUUGCCCCUCAUUUUUCCGGACCACGCAAGUGCCUGGAUUCCUGUAGGAUACAAUUAAAGGGAGGAAAAGUCCCAAUGACGAUUGCUACCAGUUGUGCCAGCCCUUGACAAGCAGGAGUCUCAGCCAAAUAUAAUUUCAUUUAAGCAAUUAAGAAAGGUGACAUUUCUUGCACUCAAGUGUCACGGAGCAAUUUAAACCAGUUAAAGAAUGCCUGAAUUGAUUUGAAAAUUUGCCUAGAGAACACAUACACCCUCAUGAAUAUGUUUGUAGAUUCUUGGAGGCCUUUAACCCGCAAGAUGAUUAAACUACUGUAAGAAGUGAAUAAUGCCUUUGGAAUUGUGCAACACGGCAGUCCUGCCUGCUACCGUGAGUGAGGCUAGCCUGAGUACAAACUAAACAUAUCGAGGACGGCAGCAACCAGUGACUACAGAAAAAUGAACUAGAGUCUGAUCAAAACCAAAAGCUCACAGAGACCUCACACCACACAGACUUCCUUUCUGCAUCAUUAGAAAAUGCACAGAGAAGAACUCAGAUUGACCCAGCCCCGUCAUAUGCCCAUCUCUGUGGCUGGAGGAGUAAAGUACCAUGAUUCACAGUCACCAGUUGGGGAGGAGCAGCUUCCAAAAAGCAGGAAGAAAAAGUGCUGGCUUGACAAAAAACACAGAGGGUAAACUACUUGGACAUCUAGAUUUCUGUGAAGGCCAGCACUAGAGCCAACUAAAUCUUCUUUCAUACCAAGACUAAGAAGGAAAUAUCACUGUCAUUGUACAUGAAGUCACAAAGAUGUGUUUUAUAAAAGCCUGCUGUCUUGUUCAA